rnacentral:lncRNA from 1 species
ACAGUUCAACAUUAGUGUUACCCUAUUAACUAAACACUUGCAUAAUUAUAUAUAGAAAUGUAUUUAUAUAUUAAUUAAAAUAUUAUUACUUUUUAGGAUUUCGGAGCCUUCACAAAAAAUGAAAAGGAGAAUUUUUCUACAAGUAUGUUCAUUUUGUUAUGGCUUAUAUAUAGUAGAAUCAAUUAAAUGUUUUUUUUUUUUUUUUUUUUUUUUUAUUUGUAGCAUUUAAAUAAUUUGUUUAUAAUAUUUGAUUUGAUUUGACUUUUUUUUUUUUUUUUUUUAGCUUGUAAAGUGGUUUGGCCAUGUAAAAAUGAGUCAUGUAAACGAGAUUACUCAAUAACAUGUCCUAAAGGUUAAACAAAAUAACAAACUGAAUCACAAAAAAAAAAAAAAAAAAUUGUUUGAUAUAAUGUUUUUAAAAUAAUUAUUUACAUGUAUAAAUAUAAAAAAAUAUUAAUAAUAUAUCACAAAAAAACAAAAUCUUUUAAAUAAUAGGAUGGUCUUACAAUGUGAAAAAGGAUGUAUGCAGUAGUGACAAAGAGUUCAAAGGCUUAAUUUCCGAAGAGGAAAAGGAAUCUAUUAGUCACAUGUCUUAUGAUAAAAAAGUCGCGUUUUCAGUAAAAUAUGGAAUUUCAUGGCCAUGUGAAAACAAAUGUACGUAUGGCUAUGAUAUUUAUGCCUGUCCUAGAAGUUGGAUAAAUGUAAUGGAUUCAGGGUUAUGUAAAGCACCGGAUGAUUAUAGCUCUACUAUUAAUUGUCCUCGUAUAACACAUUUUGAUUACAUGAAUUCAAAAGAAAAAGAAAAUUUUAGUAAAAAUUGUAAAGUAAAAUGGUUAUGUUCUGAAAAUUCACAAAGAGAUUAUUCUAAGUGUCCUAUAAAUUUUGAUUAUGUUACUGAAGGAACUGAUAAAGGAAUGUGCAGGCCAAAUGACAAAUAUGAAGGGCCAUGUAAAGAAACUCAAGAUAUAUUAUCAUUAAAUCUAACAAAUAAAUAUAACUUUGAAGAAACGUGCGAAUGUCAAUUUCCAAUUAUAAAUAAAAAAGAUAUUCCCCAAACAGAACAAGAUAUCAUUUCGCCUAAUAAGUUACAAAAACUACUAAAAGGAGCAGAUAUCUCUAAAAAGGAAAUUACUUUAGAGUAACUGUCCGUUCCUUCAUUCGUUUGUUCUGUUUAAUACAUUUUUAGGAUUAAUAUAUUCUUAUUUAACAGGUGUUUAAAUAUUCAGCUAAAUUCACACUCUUUUUUGUUUGUUUGUUUUUUUUUUUUUUUUUUAUAUACUUAUUUUUUUUUUAUUUUGUUAUUUUUUGUUUUAAUUUUAAAAAAGUCCAUAAAUAUAUAAUAUGUUAUUUAUCAUUUUGAUUAUAUUUUAGAAAGAACAAAUAAUGUAAUAAACAAAAUGCAAAAGACA